rnacentral:rRNA from 1 species
UACGGGGGGGGGCAAGCGUUGUUCGGAAUUACUGGGCGUAAAGGGCGCGUAGGCGGCCUGCUAAGUCGGACGUGAAAUCCCUCGGCUCAACCGAGGAACUGCGUCCGAUACUGGUGGGCUUGAAUCCGGGAGAGGGAUGUGGAAUUCCAGGUGUAGCGGUGAAAUGCGUAGAUAUCUGGAGGAACACCGGUGGCGAAGGCGGCAUCCUGGACCGGUAUUGACGCUG